GGGAUUGCCUUAGUAACGGCGAGUGAAGCGGCAACAGCUCAAAUUUGAAAUCUGGCUCCUUCGGGGUCCGAAUUGUAAUUUGUAGAGAGUGCUUCGGGCGAGGCCUCGGUCUAAGUCCAUUGGAACAUGGUGUCAUAGAGGGUGAGAAUCCCGUAUGCGACCGUGGCUCGAGCCCAUGUGAAGCCUCUUCGACGAGUCGAGUUGUUUGGGAAUGCAGCUCAAAAUGGGUGGUAAAUUUCAUCUAAAGCUAAAUACUGGCUGGAGACCGAUAGCGCACAAGUAGAGUGAUCGAAAGAUGAAAAGCACUUUGGAAAGAGAGUCAAACAGUACGUGAAAUUGUUGAAAGGGAAGCGCUUGCAACCAGACCUGCCCGUAGGCGAUCAGCCGCUGUUCUCAGCGGUGCACUCGCCCUGCGAUCAGGCCAGCAUCGGUUUCGGCGGUCGGAUAAAGGCCUUGGGAAUGUAGCUCCCCUCCGGGGGAGUCUUAUAGCCCUCGGUGCAAUGCGGCCAGCCGGGACCGAGGACCGCGCUUCGGCUAGGAUGCUGGCGUAAUGGUUGUAAGCGACCCGUCUUGAAACACGGACCAAGGAGUCUAACAUCUAUGCGAGUGUUUGGGUGUCAAACCCAUGCGCGGAAUGAAAGUGAACGGAGGUGAGAACCCUUUAAGGGCGCAUCAUCGACCGAUCCAGAUGUCUUCGGAUGGAUUUGAGUAUGAGCAUAGCUGUUGGGACCCGAAAGGUAAUUUGAACUCCCCUCUUGUUUAUAAGAAUCAUAUGCUAACUUUUCCAAAAGAUGGUGAACUAUGCCUGAAUAGGGUGAAGCCAGAGGAAACUCUGGUGGAGGCUCGCAGCGGUUCUGACGUGCAAAUCGAUCGUCAAAUUUGGGUAUAGGGGCGAAAGACUAAUCGAACUA
rnacentral:rRNA from 1 species